AGCAGUGUCAGGAGAACGGUCUGGAAAGUCCGGCAGUAAAGGGUGAUAGCCCCGUAUCUGAAGAUGCUGUUAUUGUGAACUCGACGAGUAGGGCGGGACACGUGUUAUCCUGUCUGAAUAUGGGGGGACCAUCCUCCAAGGCUAAAUACUCCUGAUUGACCGAUAGUGAACCAGUACCGUGAGGGAAAGGCGAAAAGAACCCCGGCGAGGGGAGUGAAAAAGAACCUGAAACCGUG
rnacentral:rRNA from 1 species